UGAGGUCAGCAACAUAUGGCCGUCCCGUUGCUAGAACACGGCAGCGCCAAACAUUUCACUGACGACUGCUUCCUCAACUUGGGCCAAUACAGAGCUGGACUUGCUCAACGUCUGAAAAUCAAGUCUGGAUCAGUACCAACUCUCCUCGGCUCAGCUACAAACCUCGAAAAACCCAGCUCAUCAAGUGCUUCCAUUCAGCAGCUUCUCUCAAGGGAUGUUGCCUGCCAGACAGAACACCUGGAAACGCAUACUUCAGACCCCAGACACCAUUUCAAUCAAGGUUGAAGAGG